GGGAGAGGGAGCUGAGGAAAGGACGGCUAAGUUGUUGGAGGAGGAGAGGAACCGGAACGACAAUGCUAACCGGGCCCUAUACGAGCUCAUCGUGACCAUGUGCGAGAAAAACGGUCAGGCCUCUCCGCCGAUGCUCCAGAUUGCUCCGGCGACCACGCAUGGCUCCCGACAAGCAUCGACCAAUCCUUCUGUGUCUGCCAAUGCCGGAACCCCGACCGGUCCUUCACCUCCGUCUGGCACUGGCAUUCCUACACCUCCGUGAUAACGAUUUAAUUCUCUAUAUGGAAGCUUGCAUGGACGACAAAGAGGACACAUGGCAGCUAACUGUAAAAACUGGGAACACUGGCUGCCUAUUUGGUCACUUUGUUGUCGCCAGCAGACGGAAAAGAUUCAAAUCCCUUUGCCAUCCGCUGGCGGACGGCAUAGCUGGCCACGUGGCAGCUUCCCAGUGCUGUCUAGCUGAGCUAUUUGCCGUCUGUCAGCGGACGGCAAAGAGCUUUGACUCUUUGCCGUCCGCUGGCAGACGACAAAGAGCGCCGUUAACCCCCUAACGACUCUCACGCCACUGCACUACCGUCCGUUGUCUUUGCCGUCAGCUGGCCUCGGAUGGCGGACGACACAAUCCUUUCCCGUCCGUUUCCAGGAAGCGGACGGCAAAGACGGCCUUUGCUGGCACGUGUUCAGACGGACAGUUUGCCGUCUGCUGGCGGACGGCAAAGAAGUUUGCCGUCUGUGAUCCAUGCCUUUGCCGUCUGCCAUGGCAGACGGCAAAGAAGCUGAUUCCAGUAGUGACGGGUCUGUAUUGAUGGGGAAUGGUCUGAGUGCUUCUGUUCAUGGUGUUAGCACGGUCGAUCUGAACUUUACUUCGGGAAGGAUCAUGCAUCUGAAGAACAUGCAACAUGUUCCCGCGAUUAAGAAGAACCUCGUUAGUGGCUCCCUUCUAUGUAGAGAAGGAUUUAAGUUGGUCGUCGAGUCUAAUAAAUUAGUUGUUACGAAAUAUGAACUCUUUGUUGGAAAAGGUUAUGAGUGCCGAUUCUUGUACAAAAGUCGUGAACAAUAUUCAUUCGAGUGUUAAUGAAUCUGAAGU